GCAAGUAGAGUGGCAAACGGGUGAGUAACACGUGGGUGACCUGCCUUCGAGCGGGGGAUAACGUCCCGAAAGGGACGCUAAUACCGCAUAACAUCCUGCCUUUGAAGAGGUGGAGAUCAAAGCUGGGGAUCGCAAGACCCGGCACUUGAAGAGGGGCCCGCGUCUGAUUAGCUAGUUGGUGGGGUAAUGGCCUACCAAGGCAACGAUCAGUAUCCGGCCUGAGAGGGCGGACGGACACACUGGGACUGAGACACGGCCCAGACUCCUACGGGAGGCAGCAGUGGGGAAUUGUUCGCAAUGGGCGCAAGCCUGACGACGCAACGCCGCGUGGAGGAUGAAGAUUUUCGGAUCGUAAACUCCUGUCGAAUGGGACGAACAGAUUACGGGUUAACAGCCUGUAGUCCUGACGGUACCGUUAAAGGAAACCCCGGCUAACUCCGUGCCAGCAGCCGCGGUAAUACGGGGGGGGUAAGCGUUGUUCGGAAUUACUGGGCGUAAAGGGCUCGUAGGCGGCCAACUAAGUCAUACGUGAAAUCCCUCAGCUUAACUGGGGAACUGCGUGUGAUACUGGAUGGCUUG
rnacentral:rRNA from 1 species